CUUUAGAUAGGUGUUUUUUUUUCCUCAAAAAGCAUUUUAUCAAAAAAGUCCGAUUUAAAUAAAAAAUCUGAUUUUUUUUUUAAAUCGUUGAUUUUUAUCCAUCCUGAUUAUACAGAAAACAGCAGAAGGUCAUUUUGUUGCUCUGCUCUUCUGAACAUAAUAUACUAGGUGAAGUCUCAUCAGAGCCAGUAUGGAGAGAAAAUGCUACCUCCUUGCUCUGUGGAAUGAUCCUUUUUGUGUAGGCAAACUGUACUGGAUUUUUUUACAGCCAAAUUGUACUUGCCUGUUCAAGUCUAACUUUCGAUCCAUUAUCAUUCUUAGGUCUUCAGCAUUACUGGUCUCCGAGUUUCCAGUCCCUGUAUGUUUGUGCAUUGAAUUGAAUUAAGAUCUGUUAGCUAGUAUUUUUCCAAUUGAAUUAUUUUUCUAUCAAUGUUUCUUAUUUGUCUAGAUUCUUUUGAAUUCUUUCUUUUCACUUUCUGGUGUUUGGAAUUCCUCAGUUUACUAUGUGUGAAUUUCUACUUACUGUUUGUGGUCCUGUUAUUCUGUAGUUAUUUCAUGAAUUUGUGCCCAUUUGUUCCAUUGCUAGAAAUAGAAAUUCAAUAUAUGGAUUUCGAGGAUCACUUUUUUCCUUUUUAUUUUUUGAAAACUUCAUUUGUUUUUUCCCAAUCUUUUGAAACUUCCCAGUUAUCUGAAUUUCAUUUCAGAAAAUAAUGGUAAAUCAUACAUAGAGUAAGUUCAUUAACUAAUUCUGUUAAUACUGUAGGGUCCAUAUUUUCCAGAGUAGCUAAUUUGUAUAUGGUCAAAUGUUCCAAGUGUUCCUUAUCUCUUUAUCAGUAACAGGGUUUUCUUUCCUAUUUAAUCAGUUUUCUAUAUUUUCUUUAUUGAUCAUUAUUUUUAGAGGUAAUAUUAGCCAUGUGUGUCAAUUUCAUCUCCAUCAUUUAUUAAAUGACCAACUUUCUCACUAUUACUUAUUUUCCUGAGAGAGCUUAGAUUUGUAAAAUUUCACCCUUAUCUGGCUAACAUUAACUCAUCCUGCCUCCCUCCCCCUGCCUUAUCUUGCUGGAAAAUAUGAAGCUACAAGCUACCGUGAUUCUUUCAUUAGGUAUUAAAGGACUGAUACUCAUGGCCUGAAGCCAUGACUUUUGGUCAUAGUGGUCUCUCUAAUUGGUCUCUCUCCCACAUCCCUAGUCUAUGAAAUAGUUGGUUCAAUUUCAGGAGUUCCAUAUAAGUAUUGCAGAAGUUUAAAAAAUGUUUUACCAGUAAAGCUGCAUCUCCAAGAUGUGGAUCUGGAAUUAUCCCCUCUUCCUUUUCUUACUUACCACCACCUCUUUUUUUUCCCCCCCAACAUUACAAACAAUAUGUAUUUGUUUGUUGCACACCAACUAUUUAAUCAUUCUUAAUUUAAACUCCAUGUUCCCAAUGUAGUGAGAGUUAUCAGUAACUGAUUUGCUUAGUCUUUAAGGAUUUUUAACAUUCCUGUGUAUUUGAAUGUUGUGGAAGCUUCAUAUGGGGAGUCAGAAAGAGGGGAAAUCUUCUGACACCAAAACACCGUUUGGGACUUUUGCUUGUCAUUCUUGUGCUUGCAGUGAAUGAUUAGUUUGUAGAACUUUCUGUCACACUGUCUGGAGUGGCUCACAACUGCGAGUGCCUAUCUCGGGACAGACUGCCAGAAAACAGGGCGGAUUUCCCAAGCUGGUGGUGUGUUCUAUAAUUAGAUUUCACUAUGCCAGUAACAAAUGUAAACUCCUGGAUCACUAUACCAGUCUUAGAUUGGAAAGUCUAAGGGGACAGUCUGUGACUUCAUGGUAUUUUGCCACCCAGACAAACUGAACUUUGUGUUAAAAGAUUAUUAAAACCAAAAAUCAUACCACAUCCCAAGACACUAGCCACUUACCCCAGAUCAAUUGGCACUCCAGAUCUUACACCAAAGACAACACUGGCAGCCAAUUCUAUAGGAAACUAACUAUAAGUUUAUUAGCUAAGAAUAGGAAAUGAGUUAUUGAGAGGUUAAAGCAGGUAAAAUAUAUUAACAGAUGAGUCACAGUUUGCAAUUCCAUAAGAUAUUAAUGAUGUAAUAAACUGCCAGUUUCCCAGAAGUCUUUCAGGGUACCCAGAUAGUCUCUGGGGAUCUCUGCUUUGCAUCUGAAACACUUCCCUGGAACAGUCCAGUCAGAGAUCUUUCUUUGAAUCCAUAUUUAUAGUUUCUUCAUAUAGAAAGCAAGCUGACAGAGUCUCUACCCACGUGGGCUUUUCCUUUGAUGACGGAGCAACCAUGUGUCUUGAAAGAGGAUGAAAGAGCUGCCAGAGUCAUCCCAGAGAAUGAAAAGGAGUACCCAUGGCACCUUAGAGACUAACAAAUUUAUUAGAGCAUAAGCUUUCGUGAGCUACAGCUCACUUCAAAUACAUCUGAUGAAGUGAGCUGUAGCUCACGAAAGCUUAUGCUCUAAUAAAUUUGUUAGUCUCUAAGGUGCCACGGGUACUCCUUUUCUUUUUGCGAAUACAGACUAACACGGCUGCUACUCUGAAAUCUGAUCCCAGAGAAUAUCAUCCUGGAUAAGCACCUGGAUCCGGGCCUGCUAUGAGCAGGCAAAGGUCCCACCUACAGCCAUCGUGAGAGCCCACUCUAGAAGAGCCCAGGCUUCAUCGGCAGCAUUCCUCAUGCAGAUACCAAUCCAGGACAUCUGCAGGACUGUGACAUGGUUGUCAAUUCAUGCCUUCAUGUCUCACUAUGCCAUCACCCAACAGGCCCAUAAUGAUCCCAGUUUCAGUAGAACAGUGUUGCAAUCAGCACGUCUGUGAAAGUUGAACCCGCCUCUGGGUAUAUUGCUUCCGAGUCACCUAGCAUGGAAUAGACGUGAGCAAGCACUCUAAGAAGAUAAAACAGUUACUAACCUUUUGUAACUGUUGUUCUUCAAGAUAUGCUGUUCAUAUCCAUUCCAGGACUCACCCUCCUACUCCUCUGUCGGAGUUACCAGCAAGAAAGAACUGAGAGGGUGUGAGGCUGAGGGUGCCCCUUAUACCAGCACAUAGUGCAGGGCUCCAAGGGGCGCUCUGGCCGGCCCUAUGGAUACCUCUAAGGGAAAAAAAAGUCUCUGGCAACUGUGCUCGUGGUGCACGCACACAUGGAAUGGAUGCGAGCAACAGAUCUCGAAGAACAACAGUUAUGAAAGGUUAGUAGCCAUUUUCUUUGCUAUACAGUUCAGUGGAGCCAUGAUUUCAACACCAGUAUGUGCACUGGUUAGUCAGUUUUUAAAGUAAGUAAGAAAGAGCACAUGGGGUCUUAAAAAGAAAAGGGUUGUAAUCCAUCUUACAUAAUUUAUUUGUAACAGUAAGUAUCCCUUCCAUGUAUGUAUUUAUGAAUUACAUUACAUUCUUUGUGUGCCACAAUGAUUAAUACAUUAAAAACUUGCUUAAAUGUCAACCGGUACAAGCCAUCUCAUCAGUAGUUUCCAUUAGUGUUCUGUCAGGCAGAGGAAGACUAAUGAAACUGAAGAAAUGUUAUGCUUCAGUGCCCAUGCUUUCAUGCCCAACAUGGGUAAAGCACAUUUUCAUAAAGGUAGAUAAGUACAGUCUUAAGAAACAGCAAAUACAAUGCUAAAUUGGGGAAUGAGUGAUAGUAACAAUGUAACUGAAAUUGAGAAAUACAGUAUAAUUUACACUGCAUGGUUUGCUUCAUUGGCAAGUAUAACUGCAUUCUUAAUUCUUUUUUCAAUGAACACAGAGUAGAAUUGUGCUAAAUGAUAUAUUUUUGCUUCCUUUCAAUGCACCAACUCAUCGGGUUAUUGUGGUAAGAUGUUUUCCAUGGUUAUACUUUGGGAUUCUAUGCACUAAAUGUAGUACUACAUAACAGAUUUCAAAUACAGCUGUAUAGCAGUGUUAUAAGUUUUAUUAUGUGUUUUCAACACAGUUUAAUACAUACAAAUGAAAAUGGAACUUCAAUGUAAGUCUUGAAAUUCUGAGGACUGAGGUUUAAAAAAUAAAAUGCUUGUGUGAAGUGU